rnacentral:rRNA from 1 species
AUUGAACGCUGGCGGCAGGCCUAACACAUGCAAGUCGAACGAGUGGCGGACGGGUGAGUACUGUCUGGGACACUGCCUGAUGGAGGGGGAUACCUACUGGAAACGGUAGCUAAUACCGCAUACCAUCAGAUGUGCCCAGCUUGGAUUAGCUUGUUGGUUGGGUAACGGCUCACCAAGGUGCCGAUCCCUAGCUUGUCUGAGAGGAUGACCAGCAACACGGGAACUGAGCAACGGUCCAUACUCCUACGGGAGGCAGCAGUGGGGAAUAUUGCACAAUGGGCGCAAGCCUGAUGCAGCCAUGCCGCGUGUAUGAAGAAGGCCUUCGGGUUGUAAAGUACUUUCAGCGGGGAGGCGUUACCCGCAGAAGAAGCACCGGCUAACUCCGUGCCAGCAGCCGCGGUAAUUC